rnacentral:rRNA from 1 species
AGUGAACGCUGGCGGUAGGCCUAACACAUGCAAGUCGAACGGCAGCACAGUAAGAGCUUGCUCUUAUGGGUGGCGAGUGGCGGACGGGUGAGGAAUACAUCGGAAUCUACUUUUUCGUGGGGGAUAACGUAGGGAAACUUACGCUAAUACCGCAUACGACCUACGGGUGAAAGCAGGGGAUCUUCGGACCUUGCGCGAUUGAAUGAGCCGAUGUCGGAUUAGCUAGUUGGCGGGGUAAAGGCCCACCAAGGCGACGAUCCGUAGCUGGUCUGAGAGGAUGAUCAGCCACACUGGAACUGAGACACGGUCCAGACUCCUACGGGAGGCAGCAGUGGGGAAUAUUGGACAAUGGGCGCAAGCCUGAUCCAGCCAUACCGCGUGGGUGAAGAAGGCCUUCGGGUUGUAAAGUCCUUUUGUUGGGAAAGAAAAGCAGCAGGUUAAUACCCCGCUGUUCUGACGGUACCCAAAGAAUAAGCACCGGCUAACUUCGUG